rnacentral:rRNA from 1 species
GACGAACGCUGGCGGCGUGCCUAAUACAUGCAAGUCGAACGCAGUUGGGACGGGUGAGUAACACGUGGGUAACCUCCCAUCAGAGGGGAUAACACUUGGAAACCGGCGCUAAACCGAUAUUGAUGGCUGGACCCGGGGUGCAUUAGCUAGUUGGUGAGGUAACGGCUCACAAAGGCCGCGAGGCAUAGCUGACCUGAGAGGGUGACCGGCCAAACUGGGACUGAGACACGGCCCAGACUCCUACGGGAGGCAGCAGUAGGGAAUCUUGGGCAAUGGACGAAAGUCUGACCGAGCAACGCCGCGUGAGUGAAGAAGGUUUUCGGGUCGUAAAACUCUGUUGUUAGAGAAGCGGUAUCUAACCAGAAAGCCCCGGCUAACUACGUGCCAGCAGCCGCGGUAAUUC